GACAAACCAAGGAAGGAAUUGAUUUUCAUUUUUUCCUUCUACCAUUUCUCAUCUUCCUUGGCUGGCUUUGAAUAAGAGAACUAGGGUCUAGGGAGAGUUUCGGUUGCAUGGUGAAUGAAAUAAGGAAUUAAAUUGUUCAAGUGAGAGUUCCAAGCUUGCAAGGAGGAGGAGGUACCAAUCGGCAAAAGGGAAGACUAAACUAGAAUAGGGGUCUAUUUUUUGGUAAGUUUCUUGCCACUAUUAUGCUUGGUUGAUGGAUAAAUUAUUUUAUCGUGUUUUAGUUUAUUUAAUGUGCUGUUAUGAUAUGGAUUAUUGGCUGUCCGAAUUUGGACAUAAUUAUAGUGUUUAAGUUGAUUUAAUGUGCUGUUAUGAUAUGGAUUGGCCGUCCGAAUUAGGGCAUAAUCAUAGUGUUUAAGUUGAUUUAAUGCGCUGCUAUGAUAUGGAUUAUUGGCUGUCCGAAGUAGGACAUAUUUAUAGUGUUUAAGUUGAAUUUAAAUGCUGUAAUGUGGAAGAUUAAUGCUGUCCAAAGCAUGCAUUAAUGCUUUUCACCAAAAAAAAAAAAGCAUGUACUAAUGCUGUCCAAAACAGGACAUUUCUGGUUUUGUUUUUACUGAAUUUAAAUGCGGUAAUGUCGAAGAUUUUCUGGUAAGUUUCAUGUUAAACCUUCUUGUAAUUAAUGGCUAAUUCGUGCCUUAACUUAAAGAGCAGACCGUUCGGUUUCGGUGCAGUCUAAAUUUGGUUAUGUUAAAUGCAGUGCGCAAAUUUAAAGUUCUGUUUAGGGUGGUCCGUGUUGUCAAAUCUAGGGUUGAGCGUUCGAUCGAAUCGAAUCGAAUGAAAAAAUUUCAAAUUAAUCGAGUUGACGAAUCUUAUUUUAUCAUUCUAACUCAAUUUAAAAUUUUCUCAAAUCAAGUUAAGUGAGAUGAAAUUUGAAUAGAAUUUAAUCAAAUAUACUUGUUCGAGUUAAAUUAAAAAAAAAUGAUUUUGGGUCCUUAUAAUCACUGUCAUCCAUCGUAAUCAAAUUUUCCCACCAUAAUCAAAUUUGUUAUUAACUUUCAUCCCUUCAUAAUUUAUUUAUUAAUCUUUUAUAUAUGGAUUAACUUCUUUACUUGCUUGUUUCAAUUAUGUUAUGUUUCUUGUCACUAAGUAUUUUGAAAUUAAAAAAUAUAUUAAAUGUAAAAAAUGUAAUUUUUUUUUUAAUAAUAACCCGUCCUCUUCUUUUUGAAACAAGGGGCACUUCUAUUUCUGUCGGUGCUUGAAACAAUUUUGUCUUCUCCAUAUUACUAUAUUUCUAGAGUCAAUAAUUGUAUAUGAGCAACUACUAAACUCAAUCACUUGCUGUCGUUACUCUUCAGUUUUCUGUUGAGGUCUAUCCUGUAGAGGUACUCAAAUUGGAUCAGUGAUCGAUUUUUAGGUUUUGUCGUAAACCUAAUUGGUUAUCUUAAAGAUAAAAUGUGAAAUUGAUACCAACAUAAAAUUUUAACACGAAUAUUUUAUGGCCAUCAUCACUAAUUCAAUUUUAACAAAAAUUUAUAAAUAUUCAAUAUGAUUAAACAAUUCAAUAAUAUAAAUAGUACAAAAUGUAAAAUUUAAUUUAAUAAUAUAAAUGGUAGAUAUAAAUAAAAUUAUUACUAUUUAGGUUUGGGAUUUUUUUUAGAUUAUUUUAAUUUUUGGUUUGGGGAUAAAGGGUGAGAAGUAAAAGUUUAGGGGGAAAAUAAAAAGGUUUUGGGGGUUGAGGGAGUAAAAUUUUGGGGGAGGGGGAAUAUUCAAAAAGAAUAGGGGGAGAUGGGUUUGGGGUAGAAAGGGUGGGAUAGGAGGGGAGUAAAAGUUUUGGGGGGAAAGUAAAGAGAUUUGGGAGUUUGGGGUAAAAUGUAAAAUAUUAUAGUUUGGUAUUUGAAUUAUUCGAGUUAUUCAAAUUCGAAAAAAAAUCAAGUUGACUCAAAUAACUCAAUUCGUUUAAUUCAAAAUUUGAAUUUUUUUUUCAAUUUUUUCAAGUCAAAUCGAAUUUUGCUCACUCUUAGUCAAAUCAACAAAUUAAAUCUAAGAACUCCCAAAGGAAAAGGAAGACGAGAUGACGACAGGUAACGCGAGCUUUCGAUUUGUAAUGAUAUGACCUGAAACUAAUUUAGUUAUCGUGUAUUCUUAAUAUGAUUUAUUGUACAAUAUUGAAGUAAGUUAAUAAUAAUUAUAGACUAAAAGGCUAUGGUUAAAAUUGAUUAUCAAAAUAAGGGCUAAAUGGGGAAAGAAAAGAAAGUUGUAUAAUUUAAUUGUUAUAUGGAACGGGAUAGAAAUAUCGAUGGUAUAUAAUAGAGCAUGUACGUAAAGGAGUCUUAUAUUUAUAUUACACUAGGUUGAUGAAUAUUGUAUGAUUGAAUUAUUUUACUUGGGAUAGAAGUGGUUAUACUAUUGUUAGAUGUUUAAGUUAUGGAAAAACCACUGAGAACUUUACUUAGCGUCUAUUUUUUUAUCGUGCAUAGGUUAGAUUUACUUCAAGAUUGUGUUUUCGAGCUUUGACCUCAACAUUCCAUCCACAAUCCCAGUCUUAGAAAUGUUUGAUUGUUCCACCCUUAAUUAUAUUGGCUUGUAAUAGCUCGAAUUUGGGGCUAGUCGGAGUAAUGGUUUUGGGACCACAAAUUCGACGAGAAAAAAAAUUAUUUUCAUUAUAUUUUUAUGGUCUAAGAUUUCACAAAAUGAUUUUGUGAAAAUUUCGUUCAAAAAUUUUGAUGUUUGGGCACUCAAUUUAGUCAAAAGGACUAAAUUGUAAAAAGUGAAAAAGUUGAGUUCUAUAUGUUAAAGGUGUCCAAUUGUUAUGAAAUUUUAAAUUGGAGGUAUUUAUAUGUUAAUUAGACCAUUGGUUAAGUUGGUGGACAAAAAUGGGUAUGGUUAGGUAUGUUUCCAAAGUUUUUCAUUAAGGGCAUUUUGGUCAUUUAGUUAUUAAAAUGAAUUUAAAACAAAAUUAAAAGUCAAUUUUUGUCCAUCUUCAACCCCUAGGCUGAAAAUUGCAUGGAGAAACCAUGUCUAGGGUUUGUCAAGCUUCCAAGCUCGAUUGUAAGUACGUUCUAUCCCCGUUUUUAAUGAUUUUUACGUUUUUGAAAUCCUCGUAACAAGAUUUACCUAUUUUUACCAUUGUUUUGAAUUAGGUUUUGUGUUUAAAAAUUUACCUAUUAAUGGUAUGCAUGUAUUUUGAUGUUUUAUGGAAGAAUAUGAAUGUUUGGAGUGUGAUAAACGAUUUGUACUAAGUAAUUUCCGAUGAAAAUGCCUAAAAGGAUUAAUUUGUAAAAGUUAUAAAAUAUGUCACAAGUGUGUGAAUAAGUGAGUAUUGUGGACUGCUAUAGCUGUGAAAAUGGUUCAGCUAGGCCUAAAAUGCAAGGAAAUUGAAUAAAAAUUAUUUUACGAGCCUAGGGGCAAAAUCAUAAUUUUGUGAAACUUUAGGGGCAAAAAUAUAAUUUUUCCAAAGUAUGAUUUUUGGACUGGAAUGAAUAGUGUGAAUGUUAUAUAAGUUAAAUGUAUUGUUAUAAAUCAAGAAAGACGAGAAAUUGAAAUUGAUCGAUAAAAAGAAAAGUGAGAAAAAGUGAAAAAUUCCCGAAUGAACCUUUGGAAUAAAAAGGGAUACGAAUGAAGUGACAGAAAUGAUCACAUGUGUGGCACGGAUUGUGUGUAGGCCACUAUGUAAAAGUGAAAGUAAUGGUCACGUAUGUAGUACUAUGUGCAGGCUACUACGUGUACCGGAAUGAUAGGUCGCAUGUGUAGUACUAUGUGCAGGCUACUAUGUGUACCGGAUAGUUUUGAUCACGUGUGUAGUACUAUGUGCAGGCUACUACGUGUAUCGGAUGGUAAUGGUCACAUGUAUAGUACUAUGUGCAGGCUACUAUGUGAACCUAACAUCAUUAAUUAGUAAGGUGGUUGCUAUGUGCUGAUUCCACCGGACAUCAUUAAUUACUAAGGUGGUUGCUAUGUGCUAAAUCCACCAAGUAUCUGUUAUUAUUCUGUAGUGUUCAUUGGGAAAUUGACAAAGUGUAAUUGAAUAAUGAAUAUAGGUGUGGAUUGAAUUGAAUAUCGACUUAGAAAUGGAAAAGUGAAUUUUGAAAUUGAAUUGUGAUUGAAAGUAAAAAAGUGAAAUUAUGAAAGAGUACAUUUAACAAUAAAAUAGUUUAGACAGCAACGAUUGUGUGACUUUUAAAAAUCACCAAAAAUGUUUUAGAUUGAAUUAGAGGCUGAAUAAUAUAUUAAAUUUAAUCUGAAUGAGUCUAUUUUAUAAAAGAAAUAGAGCAAGCAAAAGAGUUAUAUAUUUUGAGAUAUUUGAAUUUUAGUUAGAUAGAGUCAGAAUGAGUUUAGAAUCCCUUAUUAUGACUUUGGAAAAUGGUAAAAAAUUGUACAAAAAUAAUUAUGGGAUAAAGUUUAUAUUUUUAGAAUCCUCAGUGAAUCUAUUUUCAAUAGAAACAAACGAAAACAAUAUUUGAAUUUUGUACAAUGAGAUAAUUAAUUUUUAGCGAAUAGAGGUCAGAACUGUCGAGCAGUGAAACAGGGAAAACUUUAAAGAAUAAACUGUACUAUUUGGCUAAACCAAAAAUUCUGAAAAUUUUAUGGUAGGAAGAUAUAUGAAUCUAGUUUUGGGGAAAAUUUACGAAUCUUAAUUUGGAGUUCUUUAGCUCUGAGUAAAAAUAAUUUAGUGACUCUGACUUGAAUAGAUAGCAUUGAAUAUACAUGUGAGUGAAUAGUGAAAUUGUAGUUAAUGUUGUUUAAGUGUGUUAUACACAUUAAGGAUGUGGAAUGGAGAGGAGGAGGAAAAUUGGAAGAACAUAUGAAUGAUUUGUGUAUGAUUGGCCAUAUGCUCGAUUAUAAUCGAUAAACGAUUGAAAAGAAGUGAUGUUUAUAAUUGUGCAUUAUUAGUUAUAGUUAAAGUUCAUGUGAGAAAAUAAAGUUUCAUAGUAUGUGCAUGUGGUAUACUUGGUAUAUGAUUUGGUAUGUAGCAAUGUCAGAAAUGGUUUAUGAAUUAACUCAUGUUGAUAAGUUUGAUACAUAAAUAAAUGUGGUGCUUAUCCAUGCUUAUAAUGCUUAUACUAUAUGUUUAUUUGGCUAGCAUGUUUGGUGUGUAUGCUUAGGCUUUGGCCAAGUUGUGGCUGGAUUACGCCACAUUAAAUUUAUAAAAUUAUGCAUUGAGAUGGUAAAUUCUAGAUGGAAAUAUGCUUGUGAUCAUAAAAGGGUCGUAAGGUUUAAAGUUUGUAAUCUUUAUUAAAAUUGUUUAUCAUGUGGUUAGUCUUCAAAAAGACUAGCUUGCGACUAUGGUUGAGUGUAAUGUUUAUAUCUUGUGUGAUAUGCAUGGGAAACGGGAGUGGAAAGGAAAUGAAAUACUAGGUUCAUGCUUGAAGUGUAAAAUGAUGCAAAAAGGGGACGUUAAGUUUAACGAUAAAUAUGUAUUAGUAUUGAACUUAAUGAAAUUGAAUUGUAUGUGAAUUAAAUGGAAAUUGCAAAUGAUAUGAUUUGAAUUAAAAGAAUUGUUGUGGUAUUGAAAUGUAUAUUGGAUUGAGAAAUUGAAUUGAAUCGUGAACAUGAGAAUCGUGAAUUAAAUGAAAUGGAAAUGAAGUAUUGAAUUACAUGAGUAUGUAUUAGGUCUCAGAAGCCGUAUUUGUUACAAAUAUAGUAUUUUGAAGUUAUAACGUGAAGAUUUAUAAAAGCAUGUUAAAAAUUUGAAGAGUUUAAAUUUGAAUGAAAUUUUAUAACUCGGUUUAACAUGUUUAUAAGUGUAUGCGUUCUGGUAAUGUCUCGUACCUUAUUCCGGCGUCGAAUACGGGUAAGGGGUGUUACAAUGUGACAUCGUCAGAUUCUAUCAUAACGUUUAGACCGAAUUUGGGUGUUACAUGGCAUGUACUGUAACAACCCAUUUUUAGUGAAAUCAAAAUAGUGGCUUCGGGACCACAAAUCUGAAUCCAAAAGAAAAUUUAUUUUAACAUUAUUUUAUGGUCUACCAAUUACAUGUUUAAGUGAUGAAAAGACCAAAUUGUAUAAAAUGCAAAAGUUGAGUUCUAGUAGCUAUAGGUAUCAAAUAGAUAUGGAAUUCAAAAUUGGAGGUCCUUAUAUGGCAAAUAGAUCAUUAAGAGGAGUUAGUAGAUAAGUAUGAUGAUUCAUCCAUGGAAAAUUAAAUAAAGAAAAGGAUGAAAUUGAAAAGAUGAAAUAAUUAAAGAUGAUAAAUAAUAAAAAUCUAAUAUAUCAUCAUUUAUCAUCAUCUUUCCCAAAUUAAAAUAUGAAAACCCUGGCAAUGGAAAUUGGAUUUUGAGCAAACUUAUUUGGCUUAAUUAGGUAUGUUUUCUUGUCCCGUUUUUAAUAAUUUUCAUGUUUCCGAUAUCGUAAUAGCUUAAUCUAGCUAUCUCGAGGAUUAAUUUGCAAAGUUAUCAAAGUACUAGGGUUUUUCCAUGGAUGAAUAUAGUCGAAUUAUGAAGUUUUAUGAUAGAAAAUGAAAGGUUGUUGAUAGAUAAACAACUUUUGUAAAUGGAAUUUUGAUGAAAUUAUGAUUUAGGGACUAAAUCGAAAAGAUGUAAAAUUCAAGGAAAAAUUUUGAAUUUUAUGAAAUACAUGGCCUGCUAUUGUUACAUGUAAAAAUUGGCUAGGCUUGGAAUAAGGAUUAAAUUGCAUGAAUUUCAUUUUCCGAGCCUAAGGAUGAAAUUGUAAUUAAUCAAAAGUAUAGAGACAAAAUGGUAAAUUUUCCUAAGAUGUGAAUUGGAUUGAAUUGAAUAUGAAUUGUAUUAAAUUGAGCUAAAUUUACUCGUAUAGAUCUAGAUAGACCAAAUACAGAGUUAGAUCGUGGAAAAGAAAAUGUGUCGGAUUAGUAGAUUUUGCGUACACGAACAUUGUCGAUGUAAGUUCAUGUAACUAAAUUAUGUAUAUUUAUAUGUUUGAAUUGAAUGUUAUAUAUGUGAAUUGUGUAAAUACAAUAUAUAUGAAAUUGAUCACAUAUCCGACAAAUAUUAAGUCUUGUUUGAAUAAAUGAAAUACGAUAGAUAUAGGGUCUCGAAUUGGUUGUGGUCCUGCAUAUGUUGCGGACACACCACAGCUUGAAAGAGCGUCUUGUUAUUAGCUCUCAUGAGCAUCCCAAUAUUUGGCUCUCACGAGCUUCCCGUUAUAUAGUUCUUGCUAGCUUCCCGUUAAUAGCUCUUCGGAGCUUCCCUAUAACUAGCUCUUAUGAGCUUCCCGAUUAAUGGCUCUCCGGAGCUUCCCGAUAUUGGCUUGCUUGAACUACCCGAUUAUGGCUCUUAUGAGCUUCCCGUUAUACAGCUCGAAUGAGCUUCCUAUUACAUAGCUCACAUGAACUUCCCGUUAUAAGGCUUGAUAGAGAGAGCUUCCCGUUUAUAUGCUUACAUGAGCAUUCCCGAAUAUAAAUUGACAAAUUACAGUUGUGUACACUUCGUGUGUACUACUCGUGUAUCCAUCGAUAUUUCAAAGGGUUUAGCUGCCAAAGUUAUGAUAUAAGUUAAGUCUGAAGGAAUCACUACCUGUAUAUACCUGAAAACACAUAGAAAUUUGAUAUUUGAUGAGCUCAUCCCUGUUUCUUGAUAUUCACAUGGAAUACAUGACUAACAUGUUUGAUGAAGUUAUGUUUGUUUAGGCUAUUUGCCAGAUUACUUUGGAUGUAUUUUGCAUGCUUACCUUAAAUGUAAAUGGAUGGUAAGUUAAUUUUCCGUUAUACGAACUUACUAAGCAUUAAAUACUUACUAUGUUUUAUUUCUUCUGUUGUAUAAUAAUUCGGAAGCUCGUUGGGUUGGAAGCUUGGCGGAGAUAUCUCACACUAUCCUUCAACUCAUUUU
rnacentral:lncRNA from 1 species